UUAAAUAAUUUGGCGGUAUUUUAGUUCAUUUAGAGGAAUCUGUUUAUUAAUUGAUAUUCCACGAAUAAAUUUACUUAAUUUAUAAUUUUGUAUAUCGUUGUUAUAAAAAUAUUUUUUAAUGAAUUUUAAUAUUUAAGAUUUUAAAUAAAAAUUUAAAUCAGAUCAAGAUGCAGAUUAUAAUUAAGAAUAUAAUGGAUUACAAUAAAAUUAUUUAAAUGAAUUUUAAUUUGUAAAAAUUAAUUGAAAGUGGAUUUAAAUGUAAUUUUAUUUAAUUUAAUAAAAUGAUUAAAAAUUAGAAUAUGU
rnacentral:rRNA from 1 species